rnacentral:rRNA from 1 species
UACCAGCACCCCGAGUGGUCGGGACGAUUAUUGGGCCUAAAGCAUCCGUAGCCGGUCAUGCAAGUCCUCCGUUAAAUCCACCUGCUUAACAGAUGGGCUGCGGAGGAUACUACAAGGCUAGGAGGCGGAAGAGGCAAGCGGUACUCAGUGGGUAGGGGGUAAAAUCCUCUGAUCCAUUGAAGACCACCAGUGGCGAAGGCGGCUUGCCAAUACGCGCUCGACGGUGAGGGAUGAAAGCUGGGGGAGCAAAGCCGG